UGGGGAAUAUUGCGCAAUGGGGGGAACCCUGACGCAGCCAUGCCGCGUGAAUGAAGAAGGCCUUAGGGUUGUAAAGUUCUUUCGGUAUUGAGGAAGGUUGAUGUGUUAAUAGCACAUCAAAUUGACGUUAAAUACAGAAGAAGCACCGGCUAACUCCGUGCCAGCAGCCGCGGUAAUACGGAGGGUGCGAGCGUUAAUCGGAAUAACUGGGCGUAAAGGGCACGCAGGCGGUUAUUUAAGUGAGGUGUGAAAGCCCCGGGCUUAACCUGGGAAUUGCAUUUCAGACUGGGUAACUAGAGUACUUUAGGGAGGGGUAGAAUUCCACGUGUAGCGGUGAAAUGCGUAGAGAUGUGGAGGAAUACCGAAGGCGAAGGCAGCCCCUUGGGAAUGUACUGACGCUCAUGUGCGAAAGCGUGGGGAGCAAACAGGAUUAGAUACCCUGGUAGUCCACGCUGUAAACGCUGUCGAUUUGGGGGUUGGGGUUUAACUCUGGCGCCCGUAGCUAACGCGAUAAAUCGACCGCCUGGGGAGUACGGCCGCAAGGUUA
rnacentral:rRNA from 1 species